rnacentral:lncRNA from 1 species
AAAAAACUGUGCUUCUGUUCAAUAUUAUAUAGUACACUGGGCUUUUCAUAAUACCUAAUUGCAUUAAGUGCAUUACAACACAGAAGUGUCAUUCAUUAAUAAUUUAAAUAGUAUUUUUAAAAGUGUGCUAUCUAGUUUUUUAUACAGGUGAAUAAUUACUGUAUGACAGUGAAACCAGAAGCUCUGCAGUAAAAUCAAUGUCAUUUUCUUCUAACAUGUACUUGUAUUACUCAUAAAUGCAUCAUUCAACAUUUCUUGAAAAAACCUACAGCUGUAAUCAUCUUUGUCGUAGGUUAAAAAGGAAAAAAAAGCAGAAUCUCAUAUUCACAUCUGCUCUCCUUCUCUCAAAACAACACCUUAAUGUUGUGAAGAAAAAAGUAAAGUCAUAUGUUUCAAAGAACAGAAGCCAGUCUUAAGAAAGUGGAUGAAAGCCAACAUAUUUAACCUUUUGCUUCAAAACAAUAUAAAGUGUUACACACAUAAAACCUAAAACAUUCACAACAACAAAAUUGCAGAAAACGUACAGAAAAUUUCUGCACGUGAAGAUGAUUGCAAAAGUCAUCUUUCUGUGGUGUCGUCUUUCAAGAUGACAUCACAAUGACCAGAGAUCUCCUCAUCAGGGCAGAGUGAUGAGAGAGUAGAGGCAGGGCUGACUCCAGCCUCCUGAGGUGGAGACCCAAUCCUGCACUGCACAGGGUAUCAGCUUGAAGUUGUGCAGCACAGCAUGACAAGUGAAAUUGCCCUAGCAAACAGUGCUAGAGAAGGCAUAGUUUUGCUACAGGGAAGAAAAGGUUUACAAACUGAAUCAAAAGAUGAAGUUUGCAGCUUCAUGGACUGCAGUAUUAGGAAAGAAAAAAAAAAAAAGAAGAAAAAAAAAAAAGGAAUGACAAGUACACCACAUGCUUUUAUGUAUGAUUCUAAGAGGAAAAAAUAUUUGUCUUGGCACAGUUGCCAAUUUAAAGUCUUGGCAAUCCGUUAGGGAUAUUCAACUCUUCUGCAGAAGGAUUGUGCACAAUCUUGCUGAUGACAUGCUACUUAUUUCCUUAAAUAAACUGUGUAUUUAAUUUCUUUUUCA